GUGGGGAAUAUUGGACAAUGGGCGAAAGCCUGAUCCAGCCAUGCCGCGUGUGUGAAGAAGGUCUUCGGAUUGUAAAGCACUUUAAGUUGGGAGGAAGGGCAGUAAGUUAAUACCUUGCUGUUUUGACGUUACCAACAGAAUAAGCACCGGCUAACUUCGUGCCAGCAGCCGCGGUAAUACGAAGGGUGCAAGCGUUAAUCGGAAUUACUGGGCGUAAAGCGCGCGUAGGUGGUUUGGUAAGAUGGAUGUGAAAUCCCCGGGCUCAACCUGGGAACUGCAUCCAUAACUGCCUGACUAGAGUACGGUAGAGGGUGGUGGAAUUUCCUGUGUAGCGGUGAAAUGCGUAGAUAUAGGAAGGAACACCAGUGGCGAAGGCGACCACCUGGACUGAUACUGACACUGAGGUGCGAAAGCGUGGGGAGCAAACAGGAUUAGAAACCCGUGUAGUCC
rnacentral:rRNA from 1 species